rnacentral:rRNA from 1 species
ACUCAAAUGAAUUGACGGGGGCCCGCACAAGCGGUGGAUCAUGUGGUUUAAUUCGAAGCAACGCGAAGAACCUUACCUGGAUUUGACAUCCCCUGACAACCCGAGAGAUCGGGCUUUGGUAGCAAUACCACAGGGAGACAGGUGCUGCAUGGCUGUCGUCAGCUCGUGUGGUGACAUGUUGGGUUAAGUCCCGCAACGAGCGCAACCCUUGUCCUUAGUUGCCAGCAUUCAGUUGGGCUCUCUAAGGAGACUGCCGUGGUGAACACGGAGGAAGGUGGGGAUGACGUCAAGUCCUCAUGGCCUUUAUAUCCAGGGCGACACACGUGAUACAAUGGUCGGUACAGAGGGAAGCCAACUCGCGAGAGGGAGCUAAUCUCAAAAAGCCGAUCUCAGUUCGGAUUGGAGUCUGCAACUCGACUCCAUGAAGUUGGAAUCGCUAGUAAUCGCGAAUCAGCACGUCGCGGUGAAUACGUUCCCGGGCCUUGUACACACCGCCCGU